UAAUUGUCACUGAAUUUUCUAGUCUUAAAGACUCCUAUGCUAAAUAAACAAAUUCAAUCAGAUUAAUAAAUUCAACUUUAUCGAAAUCUAUAAAUCUGUCUUCCUCCAUCUGAGUAAGUUUAAUACAGUGCCUAUUAGCCUGCAAAUCUAGCUCCCCAGUUGGCAAAAUGCAAUUAAUAUAUCUAUAAAUACCGAAGGCACGGUUGAUUUGUAUAUUAAAAACAACCAUCGGAUAGUAACAUCCAGUUCACUAUGCUUCCCUUCCUGUAUAUUAAGAACUUUGUAAAACGAAAUUUACUUCCAAUGGGUUCUCCAUUCUACAAACUAAAUCUAAAAACUAAAUGGGAUCAGAU